UACGUAGGGAGCGAGCGUUGUCCGGAAUUACUGGGCGUAAAGGGUGCGUAGGCGGCGAUGUAAGUCAGAUGUGAAAUCCCCGGGCUCAACUCGGGGGGUGCAUUUGAAACUACAUUGCUUGAGUGCAGGAGAGGAAAGCGGAAUUCCUAGUGUAGCGGUGAAAUGCGUAGAUAUUAGGAAGAACACCAGUGGCGAAGGCGGCUUUCUGGACUGUAACUGACGCUGAGGCACGAAAGCGUGGGGAGCAAAC
rnacentral:rRNA from 1 species